CCGGGUGUAGCGCAGAUGGUAGCGCGCUUGAAUGGGGUUCAAGAGGCCGCUGGUUCAACUCCAGUCACUCGGACCA
rnacentral:tRNA from 6 species